CUGCUGCCUCCCGUAGGAGUUUGGGCCGUGUCUCAGUCCCAAUGUGGCCGGUCACCCUCUCAGGUCGGCUACUGAUCGUCGCUUUGGUGGGCCGUUACCCCGCCAACUGGCUAAUCAGACGCGGGCCCAUCCCAUACCACCGGAGUUUUUCACACCGAGCCAUGCGGCCCUGUGCGCUUAUGCGGUGUUAGCAGUCAUUUCUAACUGUUAUCCCCCUGUAUGGGGCAGGUUGCCCACGCGUUACUCACCCGUCCGCCA
rnacentral:rRNA from 1 species